GAUCCGCGGCCGCCACGGGAGGUUUCCGAGCGGUUUAUUGGGAUGCAGGGCGAGCUAACUCUUUCCGCUUGAUGUUUUUUACAUAAAAGGUCGGAUUUCCAUAUCCCCCCCCCCCAAAGCGUCGAUGGCGACUGACGGGUUUCUACGGGAAAAAGGCGCUGACAAGAAGGACCGGUUGGGCGAACGUCUGCCAGUGCCGGAGUUCAGACCCGAAGGCUGGGUCGAGCUCCUGGGUUUAGAUCGGCUCACCCCGAGGGAUUCCCUUUGUGCGGCCGCCCCGGGCACAGAGGCGAGCAGGGGCGAUGGAUCUCCUCCUGACGCAGACGAGUUUUGCAGCCCCUGCGUCCCAACAGGACAACAGAAGAAAGGGUCCGUGUGGUCACAGCUGCUGCCAAAACAUGAAACAGAGUUCAUGGGUGUCUGUCAUCUGCCAAAUAAAGAAGGUGGAACAGCCUAUCCUCAGCACACCUGACAAGUACACUAGAUCUCCGCUACACCCCGAGCAUUUGGUUGAAGAUGUGCAUUCAGGCGUCUCUUCCCACGCACAGAACACGGCUCACCCCCUAGAGAAAAGUAUUACUGCAGUGUACUGUAUUUCACAAGCGGUGAUACAUUCAAUACGAACAUGAGAAUUCAUGCUGUGGAAAUGGGCUUCACAAUCAACGUGCCCUGGGCAUGACGGGCGAUGCUGGGAGGGCCCUUCCAGUAGACUGUGAAGACAGCACAUGUGACUAGGUCCACUGAAGUACCUGCAGCCACAGGAUGAGAGCGAAUACCUGCUUGCCUGCAUGUCACCUAGUGACACUCACAUAGUCUUCUACAAGCAACCAGACUUGAGCACAAGUGUGUAUUCAUUCCUUAAACAUUACAAGAAGCAUACAUAAACUGAUGUAAGCCCAUGGUGCCAGGGUAGCACAUGAAGACUAAAUCUUGUGUUACCUCAUUUUGCUGUCUCUCUCUUACAUAAAAGCAUUUAAAUCAGGUGAAAACAUUUAGUGAGCCAAGAAAAACCUGCAGUGAAGGCAGUACAGUAGUCAGAGCCCUUGGAAGAAAGUAUCUUGUCAUUUGCUUGAGCUCUCAGUACAAGUUUUAUCGGACAACAGCGGUACCUUCAUGGUUUUGUCUCUGUGUGAACACCCCUUACUGCUUAAUACAAAACCCAGCGCAGUCUGUCAAGAAAAUAGUGUAGCUAGAUCUCUUUUGGCAAUUUACUGCAUGUACAGUCUGAAAAGCAAGAGGUUGAAAGUCCAAAGAAGUAUGAUUGCUUGUUCAGUGGUUGCACAUUUUCUCAGGAGGUAGCGUUCUUACUUCUAUACAGUCCCUGAGCUGCAUUUUUUUAUAGCUUUAGAGCCUGUUGGAUUAUUCAAGUGAAAGUUUUGCCAAUAAAGCUUCUAGGAUUAAAAACUUUGAGUAUACAAUGUACAGAAUCUGUGUAGCAGAAGGCACUUUAUAAAUAACGGUAGCUCAGAGUAGGUGCUGGCAGUAAAUGAAUGCUGGCAUUGUGCAGUUAAAUUAUAAACUUACUCGGUUCCAAAACUUGACACAAGUUUCUCUCCUAUAAGAAUAUCAGGGAAUUAGAAAGAUUUUACCAGAAUAAUCUGACUUUGUACAUUUUUCUUUGAAAAUGUGCUUUAAAAACAGGAGGUGUACAGAAGGAAGGGGAAUGGGGAAGAAAGAACAUACUUUAUUCUACUCCCCCUUCAAAAAUCAACAGAACAGCUGUCUAGUAGCAGCAGCUUGUAAUAGUGGUAUGCGAAAUAAUGUAUUACAACUUUCCACCAACUGCUAAAACAGCAUAGUGCUUUUCCUAAAUUUGGCAAAGAAAGAGCCUUGCUUGUCUGCCAUUUCACAGCUAAUCACACCUUUAAUUUUUUCUGCUUAAUGGGGACAUCGAAGAGUUCAGCAAGAGAAACGAAGAGGUGAAAUGCCUCUGAAUUCCCAUGGCAAAGGUGGACCGUGGCACACUGUUACAGAAUGCAAAGUCAUUGUCACAGCUGCUACUGAAAUAUAUUUUGCAUUAAUGUAAAAUGAAUGUACCACAGAGUCAGACAAAGCCACGGAGCUCUACAAUUUCAGGUUGAAGGUCUGACAAGGAUGUUGUACUAGAAACUUGAAAUGAGCAAAUAUAAAACAAAGGUGGAGUGGACGUUUUCAUCACAUCUUUUGCAGUCUGAAAAGGAGACAUGUAAAACUAUUCUGUGUGUCUGUGUGAGCUCUUAAAAGCCUUAAAUAAUGGGGAAAAAAGAGGCUUAAAGGUUAAAAAAGCAAAAGCCUGAAAUCCUCUGGGGCAAUCACUUCCGUUCCAACACCGUUAAAUAGUUAAGGGUCAUUUUGCCAGAGCGAAAAAUGUUGAAGUAUUUUGUACCAUUUCUGCUUUUUAAAUUAAACUAAUAGUAAUUUAGCUUACUUGCCUAAGGAGAAGGGAGAGGACUCUCCUAGCAGUCUAUCAGCCUAUUACUGCGUAUCAUUUAAGUUUGUAAAUUAAAAUAACCCCAUGCACCAGUACCUGCUGUGGCUGACCAGCUGGAAGGCAGUUUUGCAGAAGUCCUGGGGGUCCUGGUAGAUACCAGCCAUGGGCCAGGAACAUGCCCUUGCAGCAAAGGCAGCCAACAGGCUGCAUUAAGAAGGGUUGACAGCAUGUCCAGGGAGGUGAUCAGCACUGGUGAGAUGCCUGGAGUGCUGUGUCCAGGUCUGGGCUCCCCAGUGUGAGAAAGACAGGGACAGACUGGUGAAAUCUAGUGAAGGGCCACUAAGAUGUCAAGUGGCUGGUGCAUCUGUCAUACUAGCAGAGUCUGAGAGCUGGGGCUGUUUAGCCUGGAGAAGAGAAAGCUCAGGGAGGAAUCUCAGUGUGUAUAAAUACCUGCUGUUCAGACUGAAGAUGAAUCCAGACUCUUCAGAGCAGUGCCUAGUAAAACAAAAAGUAGUAGACACAAGCUGAAAUACAGAAAUUGCCACUUAAAAAACCAUAGUGAGGGUGAUCAAGCAGUGCAACAGGAUGCCCAGAAAGGUUGUGGAACAUCCUUGGAGAUACACCAGCUGGACAUAGCUGUGGACAACCUGCUCUAGGUGACCUUGCUGUGAGCAGGGUGGGUAUACUGGACAGUCUCAAGGUCCCUUCCAACCUCAGCAGUUCUGCAACAAGCACAGGGUAGUUGGUUGUUGUCUGUCUUAGAAACUGGUCUUUUCAGCUGUCAUUUGCCAUCUGUGGAAAAGAUUUUCAUCUGCUGCGUGGACACUUUUUAUCCAGCAUCCAAGAAGCUAGUCUUUGUUUACUGGCUAAACUUCUGUUAUAUUGCAUACACUGCAUGUUAUGUGGAAAUCCUUCUGGAUUGUAAAGGGAUUGUUUUCUGCCUCAGCUGCCCUAGCUGCUACAUUCACUGCUUUAGAAGCAGCCUGCUUUUCUUCCCAAUAAUGUAUCUGCUAAUGUCUUUGAUACAGAGUUCACUCAGCUGAAACUGGCUGCAACAACUGCUCUAUCUGUUGCAGCUUUUAAACCCCUAAGGACAUAUGCCUUUAGCCUACCAGUGCAGAUUGUCUUUCAGACAAUCAGCCCUGUCUUUCCUCCCUGCACUCUUACAUACUUUGUAGCUGCAUAUUCUUUUCUCCAGUUGCCUAGAAUGUUUUUUUUUUUACUUACAUAUCUGUUUCCACCAAACUUGUUGGACCAAUGGCUUUGUAAGCAAUGUAGGUAACAGCCUGUAGUUGUUGGGUGCUCCCAAGAGCCUUGUGUCUCGAGAAGGGCAUUUGUCAAGCAGAAGGCAGUCUGUUCUUUCAUCUAAGAAAGUGACUGCUUGCAUUCCUUCAGUUGCUGUUACAGGGAACAUGCAAUUACCCCAUUCUUCAUAACGGGGUCUAGAAAAAACGUUCUCAUUGCACGUGACAAUGUGGAGCUUCCAUUCACAGACAUUCUUGCCAGGAACCACCUUUCCUCUGUUUACAAAAGAAAGGAAACACCUUCCCAAGUCAAUACAGAACAGCACUGUGAAUGUACCUUGAAGGCUGAUGUACUGUUGCAAGAGGCACGGGAAAGCAGUAAAUAGCCAAAGUGUUCCAGAUAUAUCAGGGUGGGAGGAGGAGGACUAGGACCGACCUUCCCCAGAGAGUAGCAAGAAAGUCCUGGGAGUCUGUAUGCUAAAUAUUCUUGAUACUGUGUCCUGGUAGGCUGAAAUUCUUUCUUUUAAGGUAUAUCACACACUCACCCCUUUGGGAUGUUACCAUUACUAUUUCGAGAUCUUAAAAAGAAUUAUCUUGGUUCUGGGAUUGGGUUGUUCCUUUUGCAUUUGAAGCAGCCUUUUCAGCCGUCCUUUCUUCAGCUGGGGGAGCUUCUGCAGCCUGGCUACAGACUUCUGGUGCAAAAGGAACAGUAGAGGUACAGCGUAGCAUUGGUGGAGGGCUUCAUGUAGAUGUGCCUGUUUGGAGAAAAUUAAAAUUGCAGUGCCUAGGCAGAAAAAAACCAACCUAUUCCAUGCCUCCCCUUUCUGAUACUCUCAAAUAUUCAGAGAUCCAUUCCUGCAUAAAUUUUAAAGACAAAGUCAAUUCUUGGCAAAGAUCACAGAUGCUAUUUUUGAUGUAAGACAACUUUUUUCCCCUU